rnacentral:sRNA from 1 species
GGAGAAGGAAAUUUUCCAUGUAACUACUGGACAAGUACAGCACAGGCAGCAGAACUUCCCCACACUGCCACAGCAAAGUGCCUUAGCCCUGUUCUGGAGGGAUUACCAGUAUGUGUGAAAGUUUAAUAUAGCCGCUCUUCUACGAUGAAGAC